UACGGAGGGUGCGAGCGUUGUCCGGAAUCAUUGGGCGUAAAGGGCGCGUAGGUGGCGCGGCAAGCGUGCGGUGAAAGCUCGGGGCUCAACCCCGAGUCGGCCGUGAGAACUGCCGCGCUCGAGCACUGUAGAGGCAGGCGGAAUUCCGGGUGUAGCGGUGGAAUGCGUAGAGAUCCGGAAGAACACCGGUGGCGAAGGCGGCCUGCUGGGCAGUGGCUGACACUGAGGCGCGACAGCGUGGGGAGCAAACAGG
rnacentral:rRNA from 1 species